rnacentral:SRP_RNA from 1 species
UGGGUAUAGUAUUUAAUAUAGUUUAUUAGAAAACUUAAUUAUGUCAGAAUUGUUAUAAUAGCAGCAUUAAAGUAAAUUUUUAAAUUAGUAUUAACGCUAUACCU